UCACUGCUUUUUCUUAGGUUUCCUUUGGGAGGGGAAGGAAUAACCUUGAAGAGAGGUUUCCAUUGUCCCCAGUGCUGAGAAUUCGCCCAAGGGCAGUCACCUGAUUACAACAGAAGAGACCUGGAAACCAGCCCACGUGACCCCACAUUCCACAUGCUUGACAAGAGUGGAGCUUUUGGGACUCUGCAUAGUUACUGGAAUCACAUGGAAUAUAACAAGGGAAACAUGGGGGUGGAGGACAUUUAACAUUCUCCAUGCACUAGGAGAACAGAUAACACCCCAGAGAUGGAAAUGAUGGAAUAUAAUUUAGCCAUCAUCCUUCCCCAAUGUUGAAUAUGUUGAGUCUUGCAAUGCAAAUGAUUGGCAAUGGGAACAACCAUUUGAAAUUGGGCAAGGGCAUUCUCUGUCAUUAGGACCACCAUCAUCUACCAGCCACAAUGGACAUCCUGACAGCACGAUGUGUCUUCAGCUAUCAGCUCAUCCCAUAUUUAACCAACCCAAUGACUUCCAUAUGAUGGGGAACUGCAUCCUGUUACAAGUCUUGGAGAAAUAUUCAGUCCAUCUACAACAAAAUCGCUUUCUGCACUGAAUAUUCGGUGAGUUUUUCCCUGGGGAAAGAGCUUGUACUUAAAAAUACACACGUCCCAGGGUUAAGUACAAAAAUAGAGCUAUUCCAUUUGAUA